rnacentral:rRNA from 1 species
CAAUAGCGUAUAUUAAAGUUGUUGCGGUUAAAAAGCUCGUAGUUGGGUCUCGGCAGGCAGGGGGUGGUUCGCUCUUAGCGCUACUGCCCCAUUUGCCUGUGUGAUUGGCGGAGGUUUCGGGGUGCUCUUCGUUGAGUGACCCGGGGCGCCGUCAGGUUUACUUUGAAAAAAUUAGAGUGCUCAAAGCAGGCUUUUCACGCUUGAAUAUUCGUGCAUGGAAUAAUGGAAUAGGAACUCGUUUCUAUUUUGUUGGUUUUCGGAAAUCGAGUUAAUGAUUAAUAGGGACAAUUGGGGGCAUUAGUAUUCAGACGACAGAGGUGAAAUUCUUGGACCGUCUGAAGACUAACUACUGCGAAAGCAUUUGCCAAGAGUGUUUUCAUUAA